rnacentral:rRNA from 1 species
UUGGUGAGUUUGAUCCUGGCUCGGGAUGAACGUUGGAGGCAUGCCUUGAGACAUGCAAGUUGGUCGGAAAUCAUUUCAAAUUUAAUUUCCGUAGCGGACGGGUGCGUAACACGUGAGAAUCAACCCUUAGGGACGAGGAUAAAGGUCGGUGACGAUUUCUAAAACUCUAUAAGCCGUGUCAAUUACCCAUGUAGUUGUCGGUGAAGAUUUCCUAGGGACGAGCUUGCGCCUGAUUAGUUAGUUGGCGAGGUAAUGGCUCACCAAGACUAUGAUCAGUAGCUGGUUUGAGAGAGCGGUCAGCCACAUUGGGAUUGAGAUACGGCCCAAACUUCUUCGGGGGGCAGCAGUCGGGAAUUUUCCGCAAUGGGCGCAAGCCUGACGGAGCGAUGCCUUGUGGAGGAUGAAGGAUCAUAAAGGUUCGUAAACUCCUUUUAUUAAGGAACAUUAAUUGUCGUUUCCGUAUUUAGAUAGUACUUAAAGAAUCAAGUAUCGGCUAACUCUGUGCCAGCAGCCGCGGUAAUACGGGGGAUGCAAACGUUGUCCAGUUGUAUUGGGCGUAAAGCGUCCGUAGGUGGACUGGUAAGUUUAUUGUUAAAGAUUCUGGCUCAACCAGGAAAAAGCAAUGAAAACUGCUGGACUAGAGAGUGGACGGGGUGAAGAGAAUAUCUAGUGGAGCGGUAAAAUGCGAUGAUAUUAGGCGGAACACCAGUGGCGAAAGCGCUUCACUAGACCAUUUCUGACACUGAGGGACGAAAGCUAGGGGAGCAAAAAGGAUUAGGUACCCUUGUAGUCCUAUCGCUGUAAACGCUGGGUACUAGAUGUCGCAGUGGUGCGGUGUCUUAGCUAACGCGUUAAGUACCCCGCCUGGGGAGUACGCUCGCAAGGGUGAAACUCAAAGGAAUUGACGGGACCCCUCGCAAGCGGUGGAGCAUGCUGUUUAAUUCGACAACGCGAAGAACCUUACCUAGAUUUGACCUUCUAUAAAUCUCCAUGAAAAUGGAGGAAACCAAACUUACAUGGUGUAAAAGCUUCUUAGGGAGCAGUAGUUACAGGUGGUGCAUGGCUGUCGUCAGUUCGUGUCGUGAGAUGUCAGGUUAAGUCCUAGUAACGAACGCAACCCUUAUCCUUAGUUAAUUAUAUGUCUAGGGAAACGGCCAACGAUCAAGUUGGAGGAAGGAGAGGAUGACGUCAAGUCAGCAUGCCCCGUAUGUCUAGGGCUACAAGCGUGCUACAAUGACUAUUCAACAAAAAGUCGCAACUUUGUGAAAGGAAGCGAAUCUACAAAUGAGGUCACAGUUCGGAUUGUAGGCUGCAACUCGGCUACAUGAAGUCGGAAUCGCUAGUAAUCGCUGGUCAGCUAUACAGCGGUGAACUUGUUUCAGGGGUUUGUACACACCGCCCGUCACACCCCUGAAGUUGACUAUACCAGGCGUCGUUGUCUUAACCACACAUAUUUUUAAGACGGAAGACAACGAUAAAGGUUGUGUCGGUAACCGAGGUGAAGUCGUAACAAGGUAGCCGUACUGGAAGGUGUGGCUGGAAAUCUUU